rnacentral:rRNA from 1 species
GAAGGCCUUCGGGUUGUAAAGCUCUUUCGGUCGGGACAAAAGCGCACGUGUGAAUAGCAUGUGUGGAUGAUGGUACCGACACAAAAAGCACCGGCUAACUACUUGCCAGCAGCCGCGGUAAUACGUAUGGUGCGAGCGUUAAUCGGAAUUACUGGGCGUAAAGCGUGCGCAGGCGGCUUUCCAAGACAGGCGUGAAAUCCCCGGGCUUAACCUGAGAAUUGCGCUUGUGACUGGGACGCUGGACUACG